UGGCCAUGUCCAGCUGCCUCACAGUGCUCCAGGGAACCCCAUUCUUCCAACAAUCCAGUCCUGUGCUCCUUCCAGCCUCUCUUUCUGCUCUGCCCUCUCCCCCACGCCCCGGGGCGCAGGCCACACACAUCUGUGCCUUGAGACCUCUGCACUGCUAGGCAGAGAGCCCAGGCCAGGGUGGCUGUGGGAUGGUGGGGACACUGUUGGGGGAGUGAGAGAUUAAUUAAGGAAAUGCGUGUGCUUUACUUUGUUGCCUCAAGUUUCCCAUGCUUGGUGUCCUCUCAGAAGCUUCCUUCACUCUCCUGACCCCUGCCCAGCCAGGCAGGACCAAGCUUGGUCUACCUCUGAGAUCUACCUGCCUCUCCCCCAGAGUGAGGAGCCCAUUCUAGGACCCCCACAGCCCCUGGCUGCUCCAUCAGGACGCUGCCUGUCUGUUUGUGAGAGGAGGGAUGAGUCUGACUUCCCUGUGGGUCCCGAGAGGACGGCACCGCAGGCGGUUCCUGCGGGCUCCUGGACGAGCUAAUGAGGAAUUCCAUGCAGCAGCAUCCAGCCCCAGGCUGAGCGUGAACACCGGCCCCCUCCCCCAGCGGGAGCCACCGCCUGUGAGGGCCCUGCCCUGCCUGCUCGCUGGCGCAAUGGCUUACUCUUCUGAUUGAGCCCGUCUUCUUGUGUGAUGGAGAUGACACCUCCUGGAGGACCCAGCAGCCUCAGAAGCCAUCAUCUCUCUGGGACUUUACUGUUCCCCAGACACCUGAACACCCAGCCCAGUGGAUCCUUAACCUUCUGAGUGAAGCACUGUGGAGUUCCACUGCGAGCCACAUUUGUAAUUUAGAAUUUUCUAGUGGUCACAUUAAAAAGUAAAAAGAAACAGGUGAAA